UACGGAGGGGGCUAGCGUUGUUCGGAAUUACUGGGCGUAAAGCGCGCGUAGGCGGUUUUCUAAGUCAGAGGUGAAAGCCCGGGGCUCAACUCCGGAAUUGCCUUUGAGACUGGGAGACUUGAAUCCAGGAGAGGUGAGUGGAAUUCCGAGUGUAGAGGUGAAAUUCGUAGAUAUUCGGAAGAACACCAGUGGCGAAGGCGGCUCACUGGACUGGUAUUGACGCUGAGGUGCGAAAGCGUGGGGAGCAAACAGG
rnacentral:rRNA from 1 species